CACCCCCAAGUCAGCAGAAGAUUUCACAGGAAUCUGAUUUUGUUGAAUAUCUGGCACCACUUUUUUGGCUGCUGUCUGUUUGGCUGAAGCUGCUUCAAGCAAUAACUGUGCUGGGCUCUCCGCCAAGUUUGCUUGUCGACCUCUGACAUCACCAUAACGACUUCUCUUUAGCUCAUCAAGCUCAGCAUCACUCAGCCUAUGUCCCAGCUCUUUUAUGUCAAAAUGGAAAGUAGCAACUGUCCCAUCCAGGGAACAAGCAAAAAGUGAAUACCCAUCAGGACUCCAGGACAAAUCUACAACACUUUGAGUAAAGAAAUGUUUUGCCACAAAAAGAGGACGAGGACUUGCAGUUGUCCA
rnacentral:misc_RNA from 1 species